GCCCAGACUCCUACGGGAGGCAGCAGUGGGGAAUAUUGCACAAUGGGGGAAACCCUGAUGCAGCGACGCCGCGUGGAGGAAGAAGGUCUUCGGAUUGUAAACUCCUGUCCUUGGGGACGAUAAUGACGGUACCCAAGGAGGAAGCACCGGCUAACUACGUGCCAGCAGCCGCGGUAAAACGUAGGGUGCAAGCGUUGUCCGGAAUUACUGGGUGUAAAGGGAGCGUAGACGGCAGUGCAAGUCCGGAGUGAAAGCCCGGGGCUCAACCCUGGGACUGCUCUGGAAACUGUAAAGCUGGAGUGCGGGAGGGGCAGGCGGAAUUCCUGGUGUAGCGGUGAAAUGCGUAGAUAUCAGGAGGAACACCGGCGGCGAAGGCGGCCUGCUGGACCGUAACUGACGUUGAGGCUCGAAAGCGUGGGGAGCAAACAGGAUUAGAUACCCCAGUA
rnacentral:rRNA from 1 species